UUACUGAGUUUACGCUCUAUAACCCUUUGUGAACAUACCUAUAACUGUUGCUUCGGCGGGUAGGGUCUCCGCGACCCUCCCGGCCUCCCGCCUCCGGGCGGGUCGGCGCCCGCCGGAGGAUAACCAAACUCUGAUUUAACGACGUUUCUUCUGAGUGGUACAAGCAAAUAAUCAAAACUUUUAACAACGGAUCUCUUGGUUCUGGCAUCGAUGAAGAACGCAGCGAAAUGCGAUAAGUAAUGUGAAUUGCAGAAUUCAGUGAAUCAUCGAAUCUUUGAACGCACAUUGCGCCCGCCAGCAUUCUGGCGGGCAUGCCUGUUCGAGCGUCAUUUCAACCCUCAAGCUCUGCUUGGUGUUGGGGCCCUACAGCUGAUGUAGGCCCUCAAAGGUAGUGGCGGACCCUCCCGGAGCCUCCUUUGCGUAGUAACUUUACGUCUCGCACUGGGAUCCGGAGGGACUCUUGCCGUAAAACCCCCCAAUUUUCCAAAGGUUGACCUCGGAUCAGGUAGGAAUACCCGCUGAACUUAAGCAUAUCAAUAAGCGGAGGAAAAGAAACCAACAGGGAUUGCCUCAGUAACGGCGAGUGAAGCGGCAACAGCUCAAAUUUGAAAUCUGGCCCUAGGCCCGAGUUGUAAUUUGCAGAGGAUGCUUUUGGUGCGGUGCCUUCCAAGUUCCCUAGAACGGGACGCCAGAGAGGGUGAGAGCCCCGUACAGUUGGACACCAAGCCUUUGUAAAGCUCCUUCGACGAGUCGAGUAGUUUGGGAAUGCUGCUCAAAAUGGGAGGUAUAUUUCUUCUAAAGCUAAAUACCGGCCAGAGACCGAUAGCGCACAAGUAGAGUGAUCGAAAGAUGAAAAGCACUUUGAAAAGAGGGUUAAACAGCACGUGAAAUUGUUAAAAGGGAAGCGCUUGUGACCAGACUUGCGUCCGGUGAAUCACCCAGCUCUCGCGGCUGGGGCACUUCGCCGGCUCAGGCCAGCAUCAGCUCGCUGUCGGGGACAAAAGCUUCAGGAACGUAGCUCUCUUCGGGGAGUGUUAUAGCCUGUUGCACAAUACCCUUCGGCGGGCUGA
rnacentral:misc_RNA from 1 species